ensembl:lncRNA
AAAAUAAGGGGUAACACUUGUUUUUUAUUGGUCGUCAUGAAAAAAAAAACACUGGUAACACUGUUGUUUUUUAUUGGUCGUCAUGAAAAAAAACAUAAGGGGUAACACUGUUGUUUUUGUCAAAUAAAUUAUAAGGGGUAACACUGUUGUUUUUUAUUGGUCGUCAUGAAAAAAAACAAGGGGUAACACUGUUGUUUUUUAUUGGUAGUCAUGAAAAAAAACACAAGGGGUAACACUGUCGUAUUUUAUUGGUCGUCAUUAAAAAAAACAUAUUUGAAAAAAAAAAAAAAAAGUCCUUGUCAAAUAAAAUAUAAGGGGUAACACUGUUGUUUUUUAUUGGUCGUCAUGAAAAAAAACAUAAGGGGUAACAAUGUUGUUGUUUAUUGGUUGUCAUGAAAAAAAACCCAAGGGCGUAAAAAAACACACACUGUUGUUUUUUAUUGGUAGUCAUGAAAAAAAACACGAGGGGUAACACUGUUGUUUUUUAUUGGUCGUCAUGAAAAAAAACACAAGGGGUAACACUGUUGUUUUUAAUUGGUCGUCAUGAAAAAACACAUAAGGGGUAACACUGUUGUUUUUUAUUGGUCGUCAUGAAAAAAAACAUAAGGGGUAACACUGUUGUUUUUGUCAAAUAAAAUAUAAGGGGUAACACUGUUGUUUUUUAUUGGUCGUCAUGAAAAAAAACAUACGGGGUAACAAUGUUGUUUUUUAUUGGUCGUCAUGAAAAAAAACACAAGGGGUAACACUGUUGUUUUUUAUUGGUCGUCAUGAAAAAAAACCCAAGGGCGUGAAAAAAAAACACACACUGUUGUUUUUUAUUGGUAGUCAUGAAAAAAAACAUGAGGGGUAACACUGUUGUUUUUUAUUGGUCGUCAUGAAAAAAAACUCAAGGGGUAACACUGUUGUUUUUUAUUGGUCGUCAUGAAAAAAAACAUAAGGGGUAACACUGUUGUUUUUUAUUGGUAGUCAUGAAAAAAAACAUAAGGGGUAACACUGUUGUCUUUGUCAAAUAAAAUAUAAGGUGUAACACUCGUAUUUUAUUGGUCGUCAUUAAAAAAAACAUAUUUGAAAAAAAAAAAAAAAUGUCCUUGUCAAAUAAAAUAUAAGGGGUAACACUGUUGUUUUUUUCAAAUAAAAUAUAAGGGGUAACACUGUUGUAUUUUAUUAGCCAUGAAAAUAAACAUAUUUUAAAAAAUAAAUAAAUGUGUCCUUGUCAAAUAAAAUAUAAGGGGUAACACUGUUGUUUUUAUCAAAUGAAACGUAAAGGGUAACACUAGCCGCGUUUACAUGGCACAUCUGAUCCGCAUAGAUUUCUAUGCGGCAUAUAUCUGUUCCUAAAAUGUGAUCCGAAUGUACUGUAAACAUGGCCGUAACAUUGUCUCUCGCGGACACCUGACAUAUCGUGUCAGGUAUGUAGAGGAAUUUGGAUGCGAGUCCGCAGCCAAGACUGGUGGGAGAGAGUGGUCUCUCUAGUUAAGAAGUAUUUUAACGUUCAGCCUGCAAAAGUACAAGUAGUAGCCUACUCAUUUACAGUUAUCCCGGACGCGCGCGGACACUACGAUACGCAAACACGUCAUUAAUAAACACCCAUUUCCCGUCCCGGACACGCUUACCGGACUACUUUUACGGAGUGGUAACAAAGAAGUGAAUCAGGCAAUAAAUCCACUUUCCUUGACAGCGGUCAAGUUCGGUGUGCUUAAA